rnacentral:rRNA from 1 species
AACGAACGCUUGCGGCAGGCUUAACACAUGCAAGUCGAGCGCCCCGCAAGGGGAGCGGCAGACGGGUGAGUAACGCGUGGGAAUCUACCCAUCUCUACGGAAUAACGCAUGGAAACGUGUGCUAAUACCGUAUACGUCCUUCGGGAGAAAGACUUAUCGGAGAUGGAUGAGCCCGCGUUGGAUUAGCUAGUUGGUGGGGUAAAGGCCUACCAAGGCGACGAUCCAUAGCUGGUCUGAGAGGAUGAUCAGCCACACUGGGACUGAGCCACGGCCAGACUCCUACGGGAGGCAGCAGUGGGGAAUAUUGGACAAUGGGCUGAAGCCUGAUCCAGCCAUGCCGCGUGAGUGAUGAAGGCCCUAGGGUUGUAAAGCUCUUUCACCGGUGAAGAUAAUGACGGUAACCAGAGAAGAAGCCCCGGCUAACUUCGUGCCAGCAGCCGCAGUAAUAC